rnacentral:rRNA from 1 species
UACAGAGGUGGCAAGCGUUGUUCGGAAUUACUGGGCGUAAAGGGCGCGUAGGUGGCUUGCUGAGUCAGACGUGAAAUCCCCAGGCUUAACCUGGGAACUGCGUCUGAUACUGGAAGGCUCGAGUUCGGGAGAGGAAUGUGGAAUUCCAGGUGUAGCGGUGAAAUGCGUAGAUAUCUGGAGGAACACCGGUGGCGAAGGCGGCAUUCUGGACCGAAACUGACGCUGAGGCGCGAAAGCCAGGGGAGCAAACGGG